UACGGGAGGCAGCAGUAGGGAACCUUUCACAAUGGGCGAAAGCCUGAUGGAGCAACGCCGCGUGCAGGAUGACGGCCUUCGGGUUGUAAACUGCUUUUAUAUCCGAGAAAUAUGAUGGUAAGAUAUGAAUAAGGACCGGCUAACUACGUGCCAGCAGCCGCGGUAAU
rnacentral:rRNA from 1 species